rnacentral:rRNA from 1 species
CCCUAUAUGACGCGGAGAGGGGGCGGAAGGUGGCCGGCCUGAGAGGGCGACCGGCCACACUGGGACUGAGACACGGCCCAGACUCCUACGGGAGGCAGCAGUGGGGAAUAUUGCACAAUGGGCGAAAGCCUGAUGCAGCGACGCCGCGUGAGGGAUGACGGCCUUCGGGUUGUAAACCUCUUUCAGCAGGGAAGAAGCGAAAGUGACGGUACCUGCAGAAGAAGCGCCGGCUAACUACGUGCCAGCAGCCGCGGUAAUACGUAGGGCGCAAGCGUUGUCCGGAAUUAUUGGGCGUAAAGAGCUCGUAGGCGGCUUGUCACGUCGGUUGUGAAAGCCCGGGGCUUAACCCCGGGUCUGCAGUCGAUACGGGCAGGCUAGAGUGUGGUAGGGGAGAUCGGAAUUCCUGGUGUAGCGGUGAAAUGCGCAGAUAUCAGGAGGAACACCGGUGGCGAAGGCGGAUCUCUGGGCCAUUACUGACGCUGAGGAGCGAAAGCGUGGGGAGCGAACAGGAUUAGAUACCCUGGUAGUCCACGCCGUAAACGUUGGGAACUAGGUGUUGGCGACAUUCCACGUCGUCGGUGCCGCAGCUAACGCAUUAAGUUCCCCGCCUGGGGGAAGUACGGA